CAUUUUGGCACUUGCUGUCGACUGAAAAUGACAUUGCAUGUGCUCAGGGCUCAGGAAACAAUCAAUCACGACUCAUCUACUGAAAAUUGGGA